rnacentral:rRNA from 1 species
AGUGAACGCUGGCGGUAGGCCUAACACAUGCAAGUCGAACGGCAGCACAGUAAGAGCUUGCUCUUACGGGUGGCGAGUGGCGGACGGGUGAGGAAUACAUCGGAAUCUACUUUUUCGUGGGGGAUAACGUAGGGAAACUUACGCUAAUACCGCAUACGACCUACGGGUGAAAGCAGGGGAUCUUCGGACCUUGCGCGAUUGAAUGAGCCGAUGUCGGAUUAGCUAGUUGGCGGGGUAAAGGCCCACCAAGGCGACGAUCCGUAGCUGGUCUGAGAGGAUGAUCAGCCACACUGGAACUGGGACACGGUCCAGACUCCUACGGGAGGCAGCAGUGGGGAAUAUUGGACAAUGGGCGCAAGCCUGAUCCAGCCAUACCGCGUGGGUGGAGAAGGCCUUCGGGUUGUAAAGCCCUUUUGUUGGGAAAGAAAAGCAGCAGGUUAAUACCCCGCUGUUCUGACGGUACCCAAAGAAUAAGCACCGGCUAACUUCGUG